GCGUUAAUCGCUCGCAUCGAACGACUACCGUCGUCGUCUUGAGAAGUCAUGACCUUCGGGCGUGUCGUCCGCAAGCGACGUCGGUGUCUGUGAGGAAUGC
rnacentral:misc_RNA from 1 species